rnacentral:rRNA from 1 species
UGGGGAAUAUUGCACAAUGGGCGCAAGCCUGAUGCAGCCAUGCCGCGUGUGUGAAGAAGGCCUUCGGGUUGUAAAGCACUUUCAGCGGGGAGGAAGGCGGUGAGGUUAAUAACCUCAUCGAUUGACGUUACCCGCAGAAGAAGCACCGGCUAACUCCGUGACAGCCGCCGCGGUAAUACGGAGGGUGCAAGCGUUAAACGGAAUUACUGGGCGUAAAGCGCACGCCGGCGGUCUGUCAAGUCGGAUGUGAAAUCCCCGGGCUCAACCUGGGAACUGCAUUCGAAACUGGAAGGCAGGAGUCUUGUAGAGGGGGGUAGAAUUCCAUGUGUGGCGGUGAAAUGCGUAGAAAUGUGGAGGAAUACCGGUGGCGAAGGCGGCCCCCUGGACAAAGACUGACGCUAAGGAGCGAAAGGGUGGGGAGCAAACAGG